ACGUCAGCUGAGAAUCACUGCAAAUCUGUGAAGUCUGGUGCUCAUCUGGUAUCAAUCCACAGUGCUGAGGACAACAAUGCUGUGGAUGAAUUCAGUCAGUGGAGCAGCCGACAUAACCCUCGCAUCUGGCUCGGUGGUCAUGCAGUAAAUGACCCUUCACAGGCUAGCAACUUCCUCUGGGUCGAUGGGUCUGAUAUGAAUUUCUCUGCCUGGAUUCAGGACCCCAAGCAACCAUCCGGUGACGGACGUUGCAUGGAGAUGAACUGGCUUGAAACCGGCAAAUGGAAUGAUAAACCAUGUAGCCAGAAUAACUUCUUUGUGUGUGCCUUUAAACCUGACGGAGGCCAUCCAAGAGUGGAAGCUACCGAUAGAUUGGAGCAUGAGGUGUCUCAGUUAAAGCCGUUGACAGAUGAGUAGUAUAUACCUGUCAGAUACGCUUUGCCUUAUAUAGCUUUAGUCUCAGACUUCACAACGACACCAGGACCCUGUAAAAUGUUAGAGAAAACCCAUGGCUCAAAGACAAAGCCUUUGUUGGUUUAAAGAUUUCCACAUCACAGUCAGUUUCAAUCCACCCAAUGUAUGAAUUUCUGAUAAUGGUUGUAUUUGAAUAUUCUAAACACAUUGCAUUUGAGAAUGCUAUAUUUUGUCAGAAAAUAACA